rnacentral:rRNA from 1 species
GACGAACGCUGGCGGCGUGCCUAAUACAUGCAAGUAGAAUGCACAGUUUAUACCGUAGCUUGCUACACCAUAGACUGUGAGUUGCGAACGGGUGAGUAACGCGUAGGUAACCUGCCUGGUAGCGGGGGAUAACUAUUGGAAACGAUAGCUAAUACCGCAUAAUAUUAAUUAUUGCAUGAUAAUUGAUUGAAAGAUGCAACUGCAUCACUACCAGAUGGACCUGCGUUGUAUUAGCUAGUAGGUGAGGUAACGGCUCACCUAGGCGACGAUACAUAGCCGACCUGAGAGGGUGAUCGGCCACACUGGGACUGAGACACGGCCCAGACUCCUACGGGAGGCAGCAGUAGGGAAUCUUCGGCAAUGGACGAAAGUCUGACCGAGCAACGCCGCGUGAGUGAAGAAGGUUUUCGGAUCGUAAAGCUCUGUUGUAAGAGAAGAACGGGUGUGAGAGUGGAAAGUUCACACUGUGACGGUAUCUUACCAGAAAGGGACGGCUAACUACGUG